GGACUUCUCUCAAAUGUUUAUUUGUUUUUUUGUAACAAAGUAACAUUCAUAAGUUAAAUUGGGAGAUAAUUUGAAGAAAAGACAAGCGAACGAUCUCAAAUAGUACCUAUUUCUGUGAAGAAUCAAAAGCUUCCACUUUAUUCAAGAUGUGUUAUCCUUGCUAUUCUUCAGAACGAAAUCUAGGUGUCCCACAAUUAGUAUCGCAGAAACAAUAUAAAUAAAAUUUUAAAAUGUCAGAAUAAAUGGAAUAUAAACUCUAAUUAAAUAUUGGUUUGACUUUAAACCUCGUGUUCAUAUUGGCUAAGAACAAUAAAAUAUAACGCUUGUCCAGUAAACAUCUGAACCUUUUUGUGAGCUUUGUGGGACUACUCUCAAAUGUUUAUUUGUUUUUUGUAACAAAGUAACAUUCAUACGUUAAAUUGGGAGAUAAUUUGAAGAAAAGACAAGCGAACGAUCUCAAAUAGUACCUAUUUCUGUGAAGAAUCAAAAGUCCACUUUAUUCAAGAUGUGUUAUCCUUGCUAUUCGUGCUGUGGAUCUUGCGGACCCUGCGGAUCUUGCUGUUCACCAUGUUACGGACCUUGUGGCGGCUGUGGACCAUAUUGUGGUCCCUGUGGUGGGUGCUAUGGGGGUUGCGGACCGUACUGCGGGGGAUGUGGACCUUGCUGUUAGUAUCUUCAGAACGAAAUCUAGGUAUCCCACAUUUAGUAUUGCAAAGAAAAAAUCCCAAUGUAAAUUAAUACUUGUAUAAUUAAAUGGAAUAGUCUUAAAACA